AAUGAACGUUGGCGGCGUGCCUAACACAUGCAAGUCGAGCGAGAAAGCUCCUUCGGGAGCGAGUAAAGCGGCGAACGGUUGAGUAACACGUAAGAAUUUACCCUUCAGUGAAGAAUACCCUCGAGAAAUCGAGGCUAAUGCUGCAUACGUCCCUUCGGGGAGAAAGAUGGCCUCUUUGCUGUCGCUGAAGGAUAAGCUUGCGGCUUAUCAGCUUGUUGGUGAGGUAAAGGCUCACCAAGGCUAUGACGAGUAGCCGGCCUGAGAGGGUGACCGGCCAGACUGGAACUUAGACACGGUCCAGACUCCUACGGGAGGCAGCAGUGGGGAAUAUUGGACAAUGGGGGCAACCCUGAUCCAGCAAUGCCGCGUGUGUGAAGAAGGCCUGCGGGUUGUAAAGCACUUUCAGUGGUGAGGAAAGCUCACGCGUUAAUAGCGCGGGAGGGUGACGUUAGCCACAGAAGCAGCACCGGCUAACUCCGUG
rnacentral:rRNA from 1 species